rnacentral:lncRNA from 1 species
UUAGAGCUGAGAGUUUUGCCUCUCUGGCCCCCUCUGUGUGUGGUCCUAGAACCAAACGUCCCCAUCUAUAAGUUCCAUUCAAGUUCUCCUAGUGGCCUCCUUGUUUUGGCUCCUCUAUGUUUGGGUGAGAAUUUUCAGAAAAGUAAGAGCUUAAAUGUGAAUCAUGUAGGAAAAAAAGUGUGCCCAUGUACCCGGUGCAGUGGCACACGCCUGUAAUCCCAGCAACUCAGGAGGCUGAGGCAGGAGGAUCACAAGUUCAAGGCCAGCCUCAGCAACACAGCAAGACCCUGUCUCAAAAUUAAAAAAAAAAGGCUGAAGAUAUAGCUCAUUACCACCAAAAAUGUGCGAAUUCCUAUCUUUGCCAUCACAGUGUUGCUGUUUUUAAUCUACAGAGUUACAGACAUCAGUACAUAUGAAAUCACAGUAAUGCAUUCCCCAAAUGCAUUACUCAUUUUAUUUUAUUAACACAUAAAAAUUAUACUUGUUUCUGGGGAACUGAGUUCUGGUGUUCUAUUGUACAGUCGGGUAACUACAGAUAAUGAGAACGUAUUUUUACAAAGUCAGAAAAAAAUAAUUUUUAAUGUUUUUAUUGCAAAGAAAUGAUAGAUAUUUGAGGAGAUAGGCAUGCUUACUCUGAUGCUCUGAUUUGAAUAUCACACAAUACAUACAUGUAACUUCUUUUUUAUCUACAGAUUGCAUGCAGGGCCUAGUGUAUGCUAACACAUGCUCUACCACUGUGCUGCACCCCCAGCCCUCCGUAACUUAUUUUUAAUCUGGUUUCACUUGAGUGUCCUUCUCCAACAGUCCAACUGUGCAUUGCUGAUACACAAUACUGGCCAAGCAACUUGCUUUAUGA